GGCUGCCUUCCUGCGUGGUCUCUCGUCUCUUCCAACUCUGGAGAAAACGCGGAGGAAAAUUUUUGUGACCUUGGGUUUGUGACCAAAGAUUUUUUAGAUACAUCUCUGAAGGACAUGAUCCAUGAAUGAAAAGAAAUUGGCAAAUUGGACUUCAUCAAAAUUAAGAACUUCUGCUCUCUGAAAGACACUUAAGAGAAUGAAAAGACAAGCCACAGACUAGAAGAAAACAUUGGCAAAUUACACAUCUGGUAUGGACUUGUAUCCAGAAUAUAUAAAACACUUUCAAAACUCAAUAAGAAGGGAAUUCCCUGGUGGCCUAGUGGUUAGGAUUCCAGUCUUUCACUACAGUGGCCCUGGGUUCAAUCCCUGGUCCCCUGGUCGGGGAACUGAGAUCCUGCAAGCUGCGCAGCCCAGCCAAAAAAAAAAAAAAAAAAAAAAAACAACCCACAGGUGAAUGGAUAAACAAAUUGUUAUAUAUUCACAUAAUGGAAUACUGCUGUGCAAUAAGAAAGGAUGAACUAUUGAUACAUGUAACAAUAUGGAUGAAUCAAAAUAAUUUGUUGUGUGAAAGAAGCCAGACAUACUGUAUGAUUCCACUUAUAUAAAUCUCUAGAAAAUACAAACUAAUCUUAAGUGGCAACACUAUAGAUUGUCAUUGCCUGGAUGAGGGGGACUAAUAUUCAUUUAAAAAUAAUAUCUUAGAUCUAAUUGGUUUUUAAAUGAGUCAAAAAAUUUUAGCUCUGUUUUGUUAAAAUAAGUGUGCUGUGGACUUUUGUUUUCCUUUUUAAAGGAGACAAAUCUCCCUUAACUUAGACAAGUGGUAUAAGGAAUAUUGUCUAUUCUUCUAUAUAUGGCAUAUUCCAUAUGUUCCAAAUGUUUCAGAUAAAAAAGUUUGGAGCCAAUUGAAGAAAUCUGGAGCCAGUUGAAAUUUGAGCUGGCCAAUUUUAACUUGCUCCUAUGCCCAAAAUAAAAUACAGGUCAACUGGUGUGUUAAAGGCAAUAAAAUAAGAGUUGUCGUUUAUACUGUCACAAUAGCAACCUGUUCUUAUUGUAUCAUAUUCUUAGUUUCUUAAAAACAUAUCUAGGCACUUUCAAAAAAUGAAUUAGUACCAAGAUGUUGAAUAGGUCCUCUAUCUUCUGAAAGACAAUAUUCUCUAGCUGAUUUUUUUAACCUGAAAAAUACAGCUAAAUAUUUAUAGUUUUUCUUUACUGUUUAGUUUGUCUGCUUUCCCUCUAGUAAUAUCUCCUUGUUCUUUCUGAUGAAAAAUUCUGGAAAACCUGGAUUUAGCUCUAUUUUUAAUUGUCUUAUGUGAAAGGACCAUAUUAAUAUAUUCACCUGAAAUUUUAUAAUUGGACAAAAACUACAUUGUUUUGCAAGAAGAAUGCAUUGCAUGAUAUUGAUAUCCAAAAUUUGUCUUCAAGUAUAUAUCAAGUAUCUCAAAACUAUAGAAUUAUUCAUCUGAUAAAUAAAAGUAUAUUUUUCUACU
rnacentral:lncRNA from 1 species